rfam:Aedes albopictus isolate Foshan contig28493, whole genome shotgun sequence.
UGCCCAGCAACUCCUAUCCCUACCUCCACGUGGUACCGGUGGGAAACUAUGAACAACCUUAGGGAAGAUCAGGUGACCAAUCCCGGUGGGAACUUUAGUCAUAGGUUGAUAGGGAAGG